GUCAAGGUAGCUCAGUUGGGUAGAGCGUUAGCUUGUAGAACUAAUGGUCCCUGGUUCGAUUCCAGGUCUUGGCA